rnacentral:rRNA from 1 species
UACGUAGGGUGCGAGCGUUGUCCGGAAUUAUUGGGCGUAAAGAGCUCGUAGGCGGUUUGUCGCGUCGACUGUGAAAACCUACAGCUUAACUGUGGGCUUGCAGUCGAUACGGGCAGACUUGAGUUCGGUAGGGGAGACUGGAAUUCCUGGUGUAGCGGUGAAAUGCGCAGAUAUCGGGAGGAACACCGGUGGCGAAGGCGGUUCUCUGGGCCUUACCUGACGCUGAGGAGCGAAAGCGUGGGGAGCGAACAGG